CCUACGGGUGGCAGCAGUGGGGGAUAUUGCACAAUGGGGGGAACCCUGAUGCAGCGACGCCGCGUGGGUGAAGAAGCGCCUCGGUGCGUAAAGCCCUGUCAGCAGGAAAGAAAAUGACGGUACCUGACGAAGAAGCCCCGGCUAACUACGUGCCAGCAGCCGCGGUAAUACGUAGGGGGCAAGCGUUAUCCGGAUUUACUGGGUGUAAAGGGGGCGCAGACGGCGAUGCAAGCCAGGAGUGAAAGCCCGGGGCCCAACCCCGGGACUGCUCUUGGAACUGCGUGGCUGGAGUGCAGGAGGGGCAGGCGGAAUUCCUGGUGUAGCGGUGAAAUGCGUAGAUAUCAGGAGGAACACCGGUGGCGAAGGCGGCUUGCUGGACUGCAACUGACGUUGAGGCCCGAAAGCGUGGGGAGCAAACAGGAUUAGAUACCCGGGUAGUC
rnacentral:rRNA from 1 species